GAUGAACGCUAGCUACAGGCUUAACACAUGCAAGUCGAGGGACCGGCGCGCGGGUGAGUAACACGUAUCCAACCUGCCCUUUACUCGGGGAUAGCCUUUCGCAAGAACGAUUAAUACCCGAUGUAAAGGAUGGGGAUGCGUUCCAUUAGGUUGUUGGUGAGGUAACGGCUCACCAAGCCUUCGAUGGAUAGGGGUUCUGAGAGGAAGGUCCCCCACAUUGGAACUGAGACACGGUCCAAACUCGGACGGGAGGCAGCAGUGAGGAAUAUUGGUCAAGGGGCGUUAGCCUGAACCAGCCAAGUAGCGUGAAGGAUGAAGGCUUAUGGGUCGUAAACUUCUUUUAUAUGAGAAUAUGUAUUAUAUGAAUAAGGAUCGGCUAACUCCGUGCCAGCAGCCGCGGUAAUAC
rnacentral:rRNA from 1 species